ACAAGAGCUGGUCUGGUAGCAAGAUGUACAAUGCUGGAGAAGUACCACGACCAACACAACCUCAAAACCAACCAUUUAUUUUUCUUCUUCUUAAAAAUUAGAUGACAUUAACCAACCUGACCUAACCACACCCUAACCUAACCAAAACUAGCCUAGGGUAAAUAGGUUAUGUUUGGUUAAGUUAGUUUUAGUCAGAUCAGAUACGGUGAAGUCAGAUUUUGAUAAGGUCACAUUUGGUCAGGUUAGGUUAGGUUAGGUUAGGAUUUGGUUAGGUCAGGUCAGGUUAGAUCAUGUCAGGUCAAGUUAGGUUAGAGUAUCAGGUUAGGUUUGAUCAAGUUAGAAUAGGACAGGAUAGGUCAGGUUUGGUUAGGUUAGGUUAGGACAGGACAGGAUAGGUCAGGUUAGGUUAGGUUUAAUACACUUCCCAUCAUAUAAAAAACCUACUCCAGAGGUCAUGUUGCCAGUACUCCUCAAGCAAAUGUAAAAUCUCACCGUCUGGUCACUUAAGAUAAAAAAAAAAAAAUAUGUACAGCUGUUUCACGUGCUGUUGAAACAAUGGACAAC